UUCCCAAAGCCUUGUAGCAAAAUGUGCAAAGGUGACACCCAAGAAACAUCCACUUCAAACCACACCCCCAAGCCAACUCUCAUUUGGCUCAUGUCAUGGCCGCUCCUGUCAUGGCCGCCAGUAUUUCUGGAGGAGCAAGACAAAAAACGAGGUAGUGAGCUACGGUUGCCAGACCCACCGUGUGGGGAAUGCUGGAGUACAGACUCUCGACAUCUAAUGCGAGCAGAAUUCUAUUAAUCCGUUAUUGGUAGGAGAGUUGAGAACAAGGUCUCAUUUACAACUACGACCUGGCCAAGAUAAAGCAAAGCAGUUUGACACAAACAACGGAGUUACACAUAAACAAACGUUAAGUCAAUAACACAAUAGAACAUCUGUAUACAGUGUGUGCAAAUGAAG